ACGGAGGGUGCAAGCGUUGUUCGGAUUUACUGGGCGUAAAGCGCGCGCAGGUGGGUGUGCAAGUCGGAAGUGAAAUCCCGGGGCUCAACUCCGGGGCUGCUUCCGAAACUGCACGUCUAGGGACUGGUAGAGGCUGGUAGAAUUCCCGGUGUAGCGGUGGAAUGCGUAGAUAUCGGGAGGAACACCUGUGGCGAAAGCGGCGCACUGGACCACAACUGACGCUGAGGCGCGAAAGCUAGGGGAGCAAACAGGA
rnacentral:rRNA from 1 species